rnacentral:misc_RNA from 1 species
UCGAAUCCUGCUCAGCAGAACGACCCGUGAACUCGUUACCUAUCCCGAGGGGUGAAAGGGUAACUCCUCGAGCCUCCUCGCUGCCGCGAAGGUAUGUCCUUUUAGGCCAUGCCUUUUGCGGCCUAACAACGAACCCCGGCGCGAAAAGCGCCAAGGAAAUCUAACGAAAGAGCAUGAUCUUGAUGCCCUGUUCGCAGUGUGCAAAUUGAUUCAAUGCCAUCUUUUAAGUCUAACGACUCUCGGCAACGGAUAUCUCGGCUCUCGCAUCGAUGAAGAACGUAGCGAAAUGCGAUACUUGGUGUGAAUUGCAGAAUCCCGUGAACCAUCGAGUCUUUGAACGCAAGUUGCGCCCGAAGCCAUUAGGCUAAGGGCACGUCUGCCUGGGUGUCACGCACUCGUUGCCCCACACUUCCUUUCCCAUUAAAUUGGUCAUCGGAUUGUAGGGCAGAUAAUGGUCUCCCGUGCGCUCCCGUUCGCGGUUGGCCUAAAUUUGAAUCCUCGGCGUUAUGCGCCACGACAAGCGGUGGUUGGUAACCCUUCUGAUCCUGUCGUGCGCGCACCGAUGCCGACACGAGGAGCUCACAGACCCUUUAAGUGUCAUUUUUUUGACACUCAAUUGCGACCCCAGGUCAGGC